rnacentral:rRNA from 1 species
UGGGGAAUAUUGGACAAUGGGCGAAAGCCUGAUCCAGCCAUGCCGCGUGUGUGAAGAAGGCCUUUUGGUUGUAAAGCACUUUAAGCGAGGAGGAGGCUACUUGGACUAAUACUCUAGGAUAGUGGACGUUACUCGCAGAAUAAGCACCGGCUAACUCUGUGCCAGCAGCCGCGGUAAUACAGAGGGUGCGAGCGUUAAUCGGAUUUACUGGGCGUAAAGCGUGCGUAGGCGGCUUCUUAAGUCGGAUGUGAAAUCCCUGAGCUUAACUUAGGAAUUGCAUUCGAUACUGGGAAGCUAGAGUAUGGGAGAGGAUGGUAGAAUUCCAGGUGUAGCGGUGAAAUGCGUAGAGAUCUGGAGAAAUACCGAUGGCGAAGGCAGCCAUCUGGCCUAAUACUGACGCUGAGGUACGAAAGCAUGGGGAGCAAACAGG